CUAAAUGUGAUGAACAUUCUCCUUUUAUAGUGAGUGUUUAUGGGUGGCUCCGGGUGUGCUCGCAACUUUCAGUUUGUUCUUGCCGUGUUGCGCUUUUAUUUUGAAAGGUUAUGUUUACGGUUGCCAUGCCAACACUCUGCGGCCGUCUGGUUUGGCUCUACGUGUAGAUAACGUUGUGAGGUGGAAGACGAAGAAAGCCAAGUGUGCAGAGCUCGCUAGCGGAGAGGUCCGGGUCUAAAACUUGAUUAGCGCCCUUGGAGAGCGGAAUGAGUUUUCACGGUGUCAAGAUGGCAAAGUGUCACAGUACCACUGUCUGGUGCUUACCAAAGGAAGAGAAAUAAACGACACCCGUUUGAAACUCUACGUGUUUGGUUUAUACCAUCCAAGGGGCCGCUACAGUGAAAACUCAACGCUGCACCAGUCUGAAAAUUCCUGCGCUUAAGCCAUCAC